rnacentral:rRNA from 1 species
CCCUUAGAUGUUCUGGGCCGCACACGCGCUACACUGAAGGAGGCAGCGUGUACUCCUGGAUCGAAAGAUUUGGGUAACCCGCGAAUCUCCUUCGUGCUAGGGAUUGAGGUUUGCAAUUAUCCUUCAUGAACGAGGAAUUCCCAGUAAGUGCAAGUCAUAAGCUUGCGCUGACUACGUCCCUGCCCUUUGUACACACCGCCCGUCGCUACUACCGAUUGAAUGAUUUAGUGAGGACUUCGGACUGGGACCGAUGCGGCUUUCGGGCUGCGUCGGUAUUCUGGAAAGAUGCCCAAACUGCAUCAUUUAGAGGAAGUAAAAGUCGUANCA